GAAAAAUAAAGUCAUACCCACAUCUUUAGCACAGAUAGGAGAGACUGUCUCCUGCCAGCACUCAGGAGACGGUGGCAUAUCCCUAUGAGUUCCAGGUCAGCCUGCUCUACAUAGUGAUUUCGGGACAGCCUAGUCUACAUGGUGUUUCAGGACAACCUGAUCUACAUGUACCCCCCUGAGGGCCUAGGAGGCAAGAGGAGAUGAAGGAAAGGCUGAAGAACUGGGUGUGCCCCAGAGGAUUUCACAGGACAGUGUCUUCUUGCGGGAUACACACUAGGAGCUAAACAUC
rnacentral:lncRNA from 1 species